UUCAUGACAAUAAAUUACUAAAAUCAUUUUAGCCUUGUCUGCCUGGCUGUGACCAACGUUAAAUGUUUUAACCUCCUCCAUGGACAGUGUGGGUCCCCAGUCUCUAUAGCACCUUAUUUUGGGGGUCACAGGUUAGAAACAGCAGCGAUCAGAUGAUCAAGAGACAAAGAAGCCAAACUUAUUUGCAAGAGAAAUCAAGGGUGACAUAAAUUGCUGAUUCUCUGAUUCAAACACAGUGAUUGCUGUUGUGUGCAUGGUGUUGACUGUGUUUUGUAAUGU